rnacentral:lncRNA from 1 species
UCCCAAAUAUUCUCCCCUUUCGGCCAUGGCCGGACUUAGGUCGCCGGUGAGCCUCCGUCGGAGUGCCACCAUGUAUGGCGGCCGGAGGCUCAAAAUCGGACCUUUUUGGUUCCUUUUUGAAGCCGACUGCCUCUAAGCCACGGAUCUAAGGCCGAACCUCGCGAAAGAUGCACGAAAGACACAAAAACAGAAGCGAAACCACUCGGUCCUCCUUCCUCCGGCGCGGCGCAGGUAUGGUUUUCUUUCCCUUUUUUUACUUUGUUAAUUUAAUAUUUAUUAUUUGGAAUGAAAUAAAGAUGACAAAAAGAGCAGAAAAUAAAAGAAAAAAAAUCAAAACCUUUGGAUAUCUUUCCUUUCUUUUAUUGCCGAAUGUUCAUGAAACAAAGAAGGAGCGAAACCCCUUUUCUGGUAUUUUCCUGGCCUUUUUAUAGCCUCUUAAUACACAUUUUCUUUUACUUUUACUACAGCUUUGUUGUUUUUUCUCUUGCUUUGCGUGUUUGGUUUCCAAUUUGCAGGUGUUGCAGGCGGCGGUUGCAGUGGCAGGGCAAGUGGACGUGCGGCGGGGUGGUUGGCCAGCAGGCCCUAGGGUCAGCUGAAACCCUAGGCAGAUUUUUUUAAAAUUGGGCCUGGGUUUGUAUUGGGCCUCAGGUUUAGGCUAAGUUAUUGGGCUGAGGGGUUGAGGGUUGUUGGGUAAGUUAGUUGGGCUAAUGUUUUUGGGUUUUGGGUCAAAAUGGGCCUGUACAUCAAUCAUUAAUAGCAUUAGUAUUUCCUUUAUCAAAUUUU